UAGGGAAUCUUCCACAAUGGGCGCAAGCCUGAUGGAGCAACGCCGCGUGAGUGAAGAAGGUCUUCGGAUCGUAAAACUCUGUUGUGAGAGAAGAACAUGCAGGAGAGUAACUGUUCUUGUAUUGACGGUAUCUAACCAGAAAGCCACGGCUAACUACGUGCCAG
rnacentral:rRNA from 1 species